CCCUCUUCGCUUAAAAGCGUUCUGUGAUCUCAAUUCCCAUUCAUUUUCCCCUUAGUAUUCUCUGAUCUUCAGCUUACCAAAAACCUAGGUAUUGUCUCAAUCGGCUUUUGUUCAUGAGACAUUAUUAUUCUAUAUUCAUUUGAUUUUAUUGAAAGAUGGGAAAUCCCACUGGAGGAGGAACCAGAUCUGUUUGGAUUUCUUUACAUCUCUUAUUUUAGGCCAUGUUCUUCUUCCCUUCAAAUACAAGUUUGAGAUUAUUAAUUGAUGUUUAUAUUUUGACUGACUAUUUGUAUGAAAGUGCGGAAUGAAGAUUGGGGUUCUUUAUUGGAAGUUGUUUUCUUCUCAAAUUUAAGUGAAUAAUUCUUUUCCGAUGAAACUCUUGGUUGUUGUUGGAGACUCAAAGUUUCUCAUAGCAUUAAGCCAUUAGCCAACACAAACAAAAGAAUGUGGUAUCUGAUUCUUUACCUUUUCUUACGUAGCUAAUUCUCUUAGCAAUAACGGAAGAACUCAAAGCUUUUUCUUUAACAGAAAUCGCUUUUCAUUCCAAAUCCGAGUGUUGCCUAACCAUCCAUGCCAAAUUUCUUGGAAGACCAAUUUCUUGGAAGAACAUCCAGGAGGAAAAGAUAGUAUAUUAAAAUCUGGAGCAAAAUCAGUGGAUUCUAGGCAUUGCUUGGAGGUAUAGAUAUCAAAUGUGGUCUAUAAAAAGUGUAAGUGUGAGCAAGUGUGUAACAAUGUGACAUCAAGCUCGAUUUGUCGUCCAGAGUGAACCUUGAAACUCAUUUUUUACGGCAAAUCGAGGGUUGAAUGUAACCUUUUAUUUAUUUUGAAGCAUCGAUUUUUUUUCUAUGAUAACGUAAUUUGUUGGUUACUUGCAUCUUGAAAUCUGGAACACAUAAACAAAGCCUUCAGAUAGACUCGGAUGAUGAUGAAGAGCAGGAAAACCAGAACCAUCUGCAAGUUUGGGAACAAUACGAAGAGCUCUUACUAGAUGCUCAUGACACUAUGACUGAGAAUGUAAAGGAACAUAUAAAGGAAGCUGAAACCGAGAAGGAAAUUGCAAUGGUAGGAUACUAUCUGGAACAGCUAUAACUGAAAGGACCACUAUUUUAACGAGGCACGGAAACUAUGGUGGAGCUGGAUUAAUAAGGGGGCAUAUGAGGGAUCGCAAUAUUCUGAAAUUUAGGGUAAUUUUACUGAAGUUUGAUGCCCAUCUAAAUUUACAGUGGGAUUCUGUUGCUUUUAUUAUUACGUUAUUUAGACUUUUCUUAACAGUUCGUGUUUUUAGGGAUCGUAUGUUGAUCACCGAGCGUUUUUACAUUAUCAAGAUGUAGUAUCCGAGGUUAAAUGUUAAUGACUGUUUCCCCACUUGGGUUGGGUUUUAGUUUGA